UGAGGAAUAUUGGUCAAUGGGCGAGAGCCUGAACCAGCCAAAUCGCGUGAAGGAAGACUGCCUUAUGGGUUGUAAACUUCUUUUAUACAGGAAUAAAAAACGGGGACGUGUCCCUUAUUGCAUGUACUGUAUGAAUAAGCAUCGGCUAACUCCGUGCCAGCAGCCGCGGUAAUACGGAGGAUGCGAGCGUUAUCCGGAUUUAUUGGGUUUAAAGGGUGCGCAGGCGGGCUUUUAAGUCAGCGGUGAAAUCUCGGGGCUUAACUCCGAAACUGCCGUUGAAACUGGGAGUCUUGAGUAUGGAUGAAGUAGGCGGAAUUCGUUGUGUAGCGGUGACAUGCUUAGAUAUAACGAGGAACUCCGAUUGCGUAGGCAGCUUACUAAGCCAUAACUGACGCUCAAGCACGAAA
rnacentral:rRNA from 1 species